rnacentral:rRNA from 1 species
ACGAGCGCAACCCUUGUUUGCUGUUGCCAUCACGUUAUGGUGGGCACUCUGCAAAGACUGCCGGUGAUAAACCGGAGGAAGGUGGGGAUGACGUCAAGUCAGCAUGGCCUUUAUGUCUGGGGCUACACACGUGCUACAAUGGCCGAUACAAACCGUCGCGAUACCGCAAGGUGGAGCUAAUCGGAGAAAGUCGGUCUCA